CCAUCAAGUGCUCUUCGUCUGCAAUGAAUUCGGGCAUAUCAUCAUUCCAAGAUCCAGUGAUUGUUCUACGGGUUAAAAUUGCAGCUUUGCUUGUUGAAGCAUUGGUGCAGAUGAUCAGUAUCAUUAGCAGAACAGGUAAAGACAAUUCGACAGACCCUCCUUUCAUUUCAGCUGAUCUCUUUUUUGCUUUUUUGCCUCAAUUUCUCCCUAUAUGGAAUUAUAUCAGUGUGACUCUUAUUUGGCU